GGGGUUUUAGCUCAGGUGGUAGAGCAUGGACUUUGCAAGUCUGGGGCGGUUGGUUCGAAUCCAGUAGACUCCA
rnacentral:tRNA from 1 species